rnacentral:lncRNA from 1 species
CCUUCCGUAAAGUGUAUCAUUCCAUACGGUCAAUGUACUCCUGCGGAUCCCCCCGGUGAAACAUGCAAUGAGAGAUGACUUAAGUCGGAGAGAAUACAUACGGAAGGCGGCCAGUGCAUCACUAAUCCGGGGUAUUGUAUGUGCUGCUAUGAUUUCGGCGUUUAAAAAAGAAAGCAUGAUCAGAUUUCAGAAGAUAGAGAACGACGUCACUUUGUGUGAGUGUGUGUGGAGGUGUUGCAGUUUGAUACUUAAGUGUUUUGUAUUCUACUUUGUUAUACCUUUGAUUUGUGUUCUGUUUGUUUUAUGGUGAUCAAGUUUCAUAUAAUAAAGUUUUUUUUUAACACUGAAUUCAAUAAACUUUCAAAUGGAACCUCUAUUUCAGGAC